rnacentral:rRNA from 1 species
GGAAUUUUUCGCAAUGGGGGAAACCCUGACGAAGCAACGCCGCGUGGAGGAUGAAGGCCUUCGGGUCGUAAACUCCUGUCGACCGGGAAGAAUGCACACGGCCUAACACGUCGGCGUGUUGACUGUACCGGUGGCGGAAGACACGGCUAACUCUGUGCCCCCAGCCGCGGUAAGACAGAGGUGGCAAGCGUUGUUCGGAAUUACUGGGCGUAAAGGGCGCGUAGGCGGUUCGCCAAGUCCCGUGUGAAAGCCCCCGGCUCAACUGGGGAACGGCGCGGGAAACUAGCGGGCUUGAGUUCGGGAGAGGGAAGCGGAAUUCCGGGUGUAGCGGUGAAAUGCGCAGAUAUCCGGAGGAACACCGGUGGCGAAGGCGGCUUCCUGGACCGACACUGACGCUGAGGCGCGAAAGCUAGGGGAGCAAAC